UGGGGAACUGCCUGCAUGCAGUAAGGGGAGAGCCGGACACAAUCAAUUCUCCUCGCUGGAGUCUCAAUCAGUAUCAACUAUGUGGUUCUACCCUGCUUUACCUUGGUGCCUGGGACAAGCAGGAAAAAGACACAGCUAGUGGCCAGAAGCCAAGGGACUUUGAUGAAGUGUGAACUACAAAUACUAAAAAUGGCAAUUUUUUUUUAUAGAUGUAUAUUUCAAAAUGAUUGCAUACACCAUACAGAGGGAAACAUGUGUUUGCCUUAAAGGGCUUCUGUCAUGGUUUUUAUGGUGUAGUUUUUAUUUCUAAAUUACACUGUUUACACUGCAAAUGAUUCACUCUUCCAUGCAAAAUGUUAUUCCAGAACCAACAACUGUGGUUUUUUUUUAGUUAUAGUAUUGGUGUGGAGGCAGCCAUCUUAAGUCAUUUUGCCUGAUCUUGUGCUUUUAGAAGGAGCCAGCACUUCAUGACGGAACUGCUUUCAGACAGGCUAAUAUUUCCUAACUGAAGGAGUCACGGUGGGACUUGGAUUUUUACCAUUGAGUGCUAUUGUCAUAUCUACCAGGGAGCUGUUACCUUGUGACAGCGAGCUGUUAUCUUGUCGCUUUCCCAUUGUUCUAUUGAUAGGCAACUGAGGGAAUAAAGAGUGACUUAGGUUUAUUAAAGCACAAGUGACACGACUGGGGCACCUGGGAAACUGACGAUAUGUUUAGCCCCAUUUCAGAUUUUAACAUUAAAUAUGAACAAUUUUUUUGCUAUUUUAAAAAAAAUGGUUUUCAGUGA